AAAAUUACCAACAACAAGCAUGUCUGCAUUAGAAAAAUGGAAGGUUAAAUUAGAAACAAAAAUAUGUAAUACAAGAAAUUGCAAAUAUACAUGUGUGUGUGCACGUGCGUAUGGAUGAUAUACAAAUUUGUCCAAUAGAAUUGUGUAGAAGGUGGGCUUGGAUUAUAAAAUAAGAGAGUGUCUUAAAAUUUAGUCACUGAAGUAUGACAAAGACCACAGUUAGUCUCCCUAUUUUUAAUAAGAAACAAGUUAGUCCUUGAUGUAUUAUGUCUUAAAAUUCACUGUUAGUCAAUCAGAAAUUGAAGCAAUCAGCCCAAAUCCGGGAGACUAAAUUGUUACGAAUAUAAAAAAUGUAAGAACUAAAUUGUAACAAAAAGUGAGUUGUGACAGACUAAACUGUUACAGCUUUAAACCCACUAACAUUAAAUUUUAACGGAAUGACUUUUGUUAACAGAAAACAUACAUCAGGGACCAAUUUGUUCCUCAUUAAAAAUAGAAAGACCAAACUAUGGCUUUUGUUAUACAAAAGGCAGUUAAAAGCAUAAGGCGCACUCAAAGUGAUGCACAUCACUUAAAUUGCAAAGUGCAGAAAAUGCGAUCGCUUCAUUGAAGGUGGUGCAGAAUUAUAAAAAAAAAAUAAUAAUAAUAAUAUAAUAUAAAAAGAAAAUACAAUCCUCUAAUUAAAAUUUAAACCCUUAAGAAAUCAUUCAAUAUCCAAAAGUUUUUAGCAUUCAAAUUCAUAUUCAUAACCUAAAAAUCUUAACUAGAUUUCCUAUCAAAGUCCAAACACUUUCAUCCUCAUCUCCAAAAUAAGAUCAAUUUCUAUCAAAAUCUUCAUCUAAAUAAGUCUCAACAUCUUCCAACGUUGGUCUUGCAAUUAAGUGCAAAAUGCCCUCGCUUCACUAAACGCACUUCAAUUAGCAUAUGUAAAAGCGCUUUCCAUAUAGCCGACCCCAAAUUCU
rnacentral:misc_RNA from 1 species